rnacentral:rRNA from 1 species
CACGUGGGGUGCGAGCGUUGUCCGGAAUUACUGGGCGUAAAGCGCACGUAGGCGGCUUCAAAAGUCGGAUGUGAAAUCCCUCGGCUCAACCGAGGACGUGCAUCCGAAACUGCGGAGCUUGAGUAUGGAAGAGGGUCGCGGAAUUCCCGGUGUAGAGGUGAAAUUCGUAGAUAUCGGGAGGAACACCAGUGGCGAAGGCGGCGACCUGGGCCAAUACUGGACGCUGAGGUGCGAAAGCCAGGGGAGCAAAGCGGGAU